rnacentral:rRNA from 1 species
UACGUAGGGAGCAAGCGUUGUCCGGAUUUACUGGGUGUAAGGGUGCGUAGGCGGCUUUGCAAGUCAGAAGUGAAAUCCAUGGGCUUAACCCAUGAACUGCUUUUGAAACUGCAGAGCUUGAGUGGAGUAGAGGUAGGCGGAAUUCCCGGUGUAGCGGUGAAAUGCGUAGAGAUCGGGAGGAACACCAGUGGCGAAGGCGGCCUGCUGGGCUCUAACUGACGCUGAGGCACGAAAGCGUGGGUAGCAAACAGG